rnacentral:rRNA from 1 species
AUACGGAGGAUCCGAGCGUUAUCCGGAUUUAUUGGGUUUAAAGGGUGCGCAGGCAGCCAUUUAAGUCAGCGGUUAAAUCGUGGGGCUCAACCCCAUUCUGCCGUUGAUACUGGGUGGCUUGAUUGCGGUCGAGGUUGGCGGAAUUCGUUGUGUAGCGGUGAAAUGCAUAGAUAUGACGAAGAACACCGAUUGCGUAGGCAGCUGACCAGACCGCAAAUGACGCUCAUGCACGAAAGUGCGGGGAUCGAACAGGAUUAGAUACCCUGGUAGUCCGCACAGUAAACGAUGAAUACUUGUUUUCGGCGAUAUAAUGUCGGAGGUAAAGCGAAAGCGAUAAGUAUUCCACCUGGGGAGUACGCCGGCAACGGUGAAACUCAAAUGAAUUGGCGGGG